rnacentral:rRNA from 1 species
UGAGGAAUAUUGGACAAUGGAGGCCACUCUGAUCCAGCCAUGCCGCGUGCAGGAAGACUGCCCUAUGGGUUGUAAACUGCUUUUAUACAGGAAGAAACUGCGCUACGAGUAGCGUACUGACGGUACUGUAAGAAUAAGGAUCGGCUAACUCCGUGCCAGCAGCCGCGGUAAUACGGAGGAUCCAAGCGUUAUCCGGAAUCAUUGGGUUUAAAGGGUCCGUAGGUGGUUAAUUAAGUCAGAGGUGAAAGCCAGCAGCUCAACUGUUGAACUGCCUUUGAUACUGAUUAACUUGAGUUAUUGUGAAGUAGUUAGAAUAUGUAGUGUAGCGGUGAAAUGCAUAGAUAUUACAUAGAAUACCGAUUGCGAAGGCAGAUUACUAACAAUAUACUGACACUGAGGGACGAAAGCGUGGGUAGCGAACAGG